rnacentral:rRNA from 2 species
AGGUGCGAUCAUACCAGCACUAAUGCACCGGAUCCCAUCAGAACUCCGCAAUUAAGCGUGCUUUGGCGAGAGUAGUAUUAGGAUGGGUGACCUCCUGGGAAGUCCUCGUGUUGCACCUC